AAGGGUGCUCAAGAUAAAGUACUCUAUCCACACGUAUCUUUGUUAGCAGGGAGAAAAAUCUUUCUGAGAAGACAUCAGCAGACUUCUCCUUUUCAUUGCCCAGAAAUGGAACGUCAGCUCACCCUGAGACCACUCAACAUAUGAAGAAUAUGAGAUAGUCAUAAUUGACUUCAGUCAGUCUUGAUUCAUUUGAGGUGACUGGGUACUACUCUGCAGCCCAAACCAAAUCAGGGCCCUGCUAGCAAGAAAGAAGAGAAUAGUGGGGACCAACAGGGAUUAAAUGCAGUAACAAGAAGGAGCCAAAACAUGGAAGUGCUCCAAAGUUUGAAGAAGAGGGCAGCAGGCCAACUCAGAAGAACUGGACUCCCCAACACUAUGAGGAGAGAGGGUGGUGGUUCCACCAGAGGUGAGGACCUGCUUUC
rnacentral:lncRNA from 1 species